GACGAACGCUGGCGGCGUGCUUAACACAUGCAAGUCGAACGAAGUGGCGAACGGGUGAGUAACGCGUAAUCAAACUGCCCUUCAGAGGGGGACAACAGUUGGAAACGACUGCUAAUACCGCAUACGGAAGGCGGAGAUUGCGUCUGAUUAGAUAGUUGGGGGGGUAACGGCCCACCAAGGCGAUGAUCAGUAGCCGUUCUGAGAGGAUGAACCGCCACAUUUGGACUGGGACACGGCCCAGACUCCUACGGGAGGGAGCAGUGGGGAAUCUUCCGCAAUGGGCGAAAGUCUGACGGAGCAACGCCGCGUGAGUGAUGACGGCCUUCGGGUUGUAAAGCUCUGUUAAUCGGGACGCGGUACCGGAAUAGAAAGCCACGGCUAACUACGUGCCAGCAGCCGCGGUAAUUC
rnacentral:rRNA from 1 species